UGGCGGGCUUAUUGCAAGGAAUGGCAAAUUGAUGUAAUUAAACCAGGCUUAGAGAAUGUCAUUGAGUUUCUUGUUUCACUGUACCAUUUAGGUAUAUGUUACAGUGCCAUAAACACUGCUCGUUCAGCGCUUUCUAACUUACUUAUAUUAGAUGAGGGCGUUAAAUUUGGGGAACACCCCCUAGUUAUUCGCUACAUGAAAGGCAUAUUUGAAAUAAGGCCAGCCUUACCCAAAUAUUCAGAGAUAUGGGAUGUUACUGUUGUCCUAAAUUAUUUAAAAAACGUUUGAGCAAGUUGCCUCCUUACCACUCAAGGAAUUCACAUUAAAACUAAUUACAUUACUUUGCCUCACCACUGGACAACGAGGACAGACAAUACAUAAGAUGGAUGUCAAUGGGAUUCAAACGUUACCAGACAGAUACAAAAUCAUCAUUAACGACAAGUUGAAGCAUACAAAAUCAGGAAAGCACUUGGCACCAAUUGACUUACUGGCAUUUCCAGAGGAGGAAAAGCUUUGUGUUGUCAAGACCUUGGAGGCAUAUUUGCAGAGAACCGCACAUCAUAGAAC